UCAGCUGAAGCUCUGAGCCACGUGUCAGGUAAAGUUAAACCUCUAGCAGACACACGAGUUCAUUAUCAUAAAAAGCGAAGCCUGGCAGACAUGCCACAGGAGACAGCACUGCCGCAGGGAACAGCCCACACCAGCCUGCUAUUAUGACAAACACAAUCUGGGAGCUAUAGAAAAAGACAGCUCCAGGGUCCCCGGUUCAUCCAGAGCUUGCGCUACUGUCUGUGUGCUGUUUUGCAUAUUCUCUCCAUGUCCAUGUGGGUUUCUUCUUGGUCCUCCCGUUUCCUUCCACCUCACAAAAACAUGCCAGAUAUAUUUCCACUUAGCUGACACACCGAAUCAGCACCUGGCAGCUGCUAACCGGAACAAAAUGUCCCAUGUACACAAACAAGACCCAGGGCACCUGUCUCGCCUCUCCACAGGGACAGACUACUUCAUUUAUCACUGAGGCUACGAAUACGUCUGCAGUGUGAUAUUUGUACUUCAUUUCAGGACUACUUUUACUUUUAACACUAGCUGCAGAGUUUGCAGAGGAAAGAAAGUGCUCCAUUAUGUUUAAGCAAAUGGAUGAAAAGCGCAUUUAGCACAAAGGGCCAUAUUAGAAAUGUUGUGGUUUUCCUACAUACAGUUAGAUACAGUUAUGUUGAUCUCAGUUGAAUUUACAGCAUCAGAACUCCCUCAUAAGAUCUUUAGAGAGAAGAGAGGAUAUUUCCUCCGCAACUCAAUUAUAGAAAACUCAUAACUACUCAGUGGUGUGUGCAGAAUGACCGAGGUAUUUGAUAAGAGUACUAUGGGGCAAUGUUGUUUGGUGGGCAAAAAGAAUGAAUAAAAAUUGACGCUUCUCAAAGAACUCGUGCAAGGAUUUUUUAGGUAUAUGAAAAUACCUUUAGAGAAAUCAAGUUAUUCUGACAGAUAACAUUGCUGCCUCACAGCUCCAGGCUCCUUUGAUCCUGAGCAUGGUUUACUCUGUGGAAUUUCACAUGUUCUCCCCAUGUUCACAUAGGUUUUCUCUAGCUUCUCUGAUUUCUUUCCACUGUACAAAAACACACGGUUGACAACUCUAAGUUGGCUACUCAAAAUUGCCCCAGGUGUGAAUGUGUGUGCGUUACCCUGCAGUGGACUGGUGUCCAGGGUGUAUUCCUGUCUCACACUCAGUGUUCCCUGGAUAGACUCAUAUUCAGGGCCAUAUUCACCGUGACCCUGACCAGGAUAAAGUGGUUACUGAACGUAAGUGAGUGAGAGACUUAAGUUCACAUAACAACAGUACGUUUAGUGACGUAGAUUAUAACACUUACGUUGGAACAUCAUGACAAAUGACAUUAUAGUUCAGUCAUUAUUGUUAUUGAUAUUACUGAUAAGAAAAAACAUGUAGUAAGCCUCAAGACUGAAUCCUAAUAAAAACCUACUAAAUAUAUAUAUAAAAAAUAUUUCAUUCCUUUCCCAGGACACUGUGAAAAUACAAAAAUAAAAUUCUCCCUAAACCAACCCAUGCACAUUGUGUGUGAUUGUAAGGCAGUUAGCUCUCAAGCUAAACCAAAAAGUAUUGAUGUUAGUUAACUUUAAAUUGUUAUUAAAGUUCAUUUAUUUAUGUAUCAUAGUGUCAUCUCAACAUUAGUUGCAAACUAUUUUACUUAAUUUAGAUGUUUCAUUACUAGCAUUAAUUCUUUAUUGCCGUGCAUAACAGCAUGUAAUUGAUAAAUUAGAUGUUGUACGUUGUAAAUUGAAAAGGUUAGGCAAAAAAAGUUUAGGAAUGAUAGUGAAACACAAGCAAUGAGUUUUUAAGUCCUAUUUUACAUUUAUGGAUGCAGUCAAGCUGUGUAUGCCCUCCAGUGAUAGUUUUUACACAGGUCUGGGACAGGGGCAUUUUAAACACUGAGCCCAUCAAAAAAAGGGCAUCAUUAAUUUUGAGACAGAAUAGUCAGGAAUGCAAAUUUGUAGUUAAGUUGGCCAGAAUAAAUCAGAAACCGCUUGAAUGUGUUGCAGGUUGACACUGUUUUGUUUUCAGGUGUCCUUACAGAGCUGCGAGACAGUGUUAAUUAGAUGGGAUAGAUGGAUGGAUAUGGAGUCAUAUCAGAAAGAGAGAAAAAUAACCACCUGCUAGUGAUUUUGGCAUUUAUUUAUUCAAGAGUUUCAUUCCAUACAUAUUAAUUACACUUGAAACAAAAUUGCAGAACAAAUGAAUACAUGGAGGCAGAAGACAUAACUUAAAAUGAUGUGUUUUCAUUUUCAAGAAGCACAGAUCCCAUCAUUUGUCUGGUGCCUGUG